UACGAAGGGGGCUAGCGUUGUUCGGAUUUACUGGGCGUAAAGCGCACGUAGGCGGAUCGUUAAGUCGGGGGUGAAAUCCUGGAGCUCAACUCCAGAACUGCCUUCGAUACUGGAGAGCUCGAGUCCGGGAGAGGUGAGUGGAACUGCGAGUGUAGAGGUGAAAUUCGUAGAUAUUGGGAAGAACACCAGUGGCGAAGGCGGCUCUCUGGACCGUAACUGACGCUGAGGCGCGAAAGCGUGGGGAGCAAACAGG
rnacentral:rRNA from 1 species